ensembl:ncRNA asRNA:CR44975 antisense RNA:CR44975
GUUUGUUGUUAUAAGGAGGUGCACAAAAAUCACACAACAUAACGCAAAAUUAAAUAGCGGAAAAUGCAUUAAACAUGUAAGCACAUGUAAAACAAUCUCGCACCGAAACCACACUUACCACCCGCCAGCAUUGUCACCAAUAUAACGCCACACGACCAGAGAUCCGCCGGCUGGGCGUGAUAUGCCUUCUGUAGCACCUCGGGCGCCACAUACGGCAAGGUGCCGCAGCGUUUGUCCAGCAGUCGCUCCUUGCCCUUGCACCUGAUCCAUGGUAAUGACGUGAUUACAACCAGAUCGCAGUCGUCGUUUAUUGCGAGAAAGAAGGGAAAAGAGAGCAUAAGGAAUUGAGAAUAAGUUUUGGGCUUCUGUAAGUCGUAACACUGAGAGAAUAAUACAUGACUAUAUAAAAGUGCUAAAU